GAUGAAGAACGUAGCGAAAUGUGAUAAAUAAUGUGAAUUGCAGAAUUCAGUGAAUCAUCGAGUCUUUGAACGCACAUUGCGCCCCCUGGUAUUCCGGGGGGCAUGCCUGUCCGAGCGUCAUUGCUGCCCUCAAGCACGGCUUGUGUGUUGGGCCCCCGUCCCCCCCUCCCGGGGGACGGGCCCGAAAGGCAGCGGCGGCACCGCGUCCGGUCCUCGAGCGUAUGGGGCUUUGUCACCCGCUCUGUAGGCCCGGCCGGCGCCUGCCGACCACCAUCAAUCUUUUUUCAGGUUGACCUCGGAUCAGGUAGGGAUACCCGCUGAACUUAAGCAUAUCAAUAAGCGGAGGA
rnacentral:misc_RNA from 1 species